rnacentral:rRNA from 1 species
GACGAACGCUGGCGGCGCGCUUAACACAUGCAAGUCGAGCGAGAACCAGGGCUUCGGCCCUGGGGACAGCGGCGAACGGGUGAGUAACACGUGGGUAAUCUGCCCUCGGCACCGGAAUAGCCCGGGGAAACCCGGAUUAAUGCCGGAUGGCCCCUUCACCCCGCGAGGUGUCGGGAAAAGGUAGCUUCGGCCUCUGGCCGAGGAUGAGCCGGCGGCGGAUUAGCUUGUUGGCGGGGUAACGGCCCACCAAGGCGACGAUCCGCAGCUGGUCUGAGAGGAUGAUCAGCCACACUGGGACUGAGACACGGCCCAGACUCCUACGGGAGGCAGCAGUGGGGAAUCUUGCGCAAUGGGCGAAAGCCUGACGCAGCGACGCCGCGUGAGGGAAGACGGCCUUCGGGUUGUAAACCUCUUUCAGGAGGGACGAAGCUACUCGGGUGAAUAGCCCAGAGGGUGACGGUACCUCCAGAAGAAGCCCCGGCUAACUACGUGCCAGCAGCCGCCGUAACAC